rnacentral:rRNA from 1 species
UACGGGGGGGGCAAGCGUUGUUCGGAAUUACUGGGCGUAAAGGGUGCGUAGGCGGUUUGCUAAGUUGGAUGUGAAAACUCUGGGCUUAACCCAGAGCCUGCAUUCAAAACUGACAAGCUGGAGUUCUGGAGGGGGUAGCGGAAUUCCUGGUGUAGCGGUGAAAUGCGUAGAUAUCAGGAGGAACACCGGUGGCGAAGGCGGCUACCUGGACAGAAACUGACGCUGAGGCACGAAAGCUAGGGGAGCAAACAGG